rnacentral:lncRNA from 1 species
AUACAUGAUAUAUAAAAUAGAACAAAUUCUACUCAUAAAUAUUCUAUAUACGUUGGACUGAGAAAACUCAAAUAGCCUCUUAGAUCUAUCUCUAUAGAUCUUCAUCCCUAGGAUGAGAGGUGCCUUUUUCUAAGUCCUUUAUGGAGAACAAUGAUAAUCAUGAAACCUUUAUUCCCUGUAAUGUAAGGAAUGUUAUUCUCGAUUAAAAAAAUUUUAUUCAUAUACAAAAUAAAAAAUAGACUCAUAGAACUAUUAACCCAUUUGUAUUUGCAGGGUUUUUCUUCAUUCUCAAUGAAGCUAUGCAUUUUGAUC